UGAUUUCUGAACAUUGACUUUUACCUCUCAUAUGUUAGAUCAGAACCAACUACAUGAAAUGCCUACCUACUUAGAAAUACUCGUAAAAUUCACAAAAUCCGAAUGGUACGAUAAAGACAAGCUCAGCAAAA